rnacentral:misc_RNA from 1 species
ACCUGGAGCUUUCUUGUUGCAGUCAACUGACAGAAUCGUUAACUUCUUUCAAUUUCACUUCUUCCAUUUGGAAAGAAAAAGAGAAAAGACUUUGAAAAGACUUUCAAAAAAGAAGAAAAUUAAAAAUUCAAUUUUUAUUCAAGUUUUUAUUUGAUUUGUUUUGUUGUUAUUAUUUUUGGUAAGAAAAAAGAAAUCUAUAUAGUUUAUAAUUUUAUAGGAAAUAUAAAAAGAUCUGACCUAAUUCUGAUACUUUAAUCCAGUUAGUGAAACAAUUUGAGAGAAGGAAGGAGAUAGAUAGACAGACAGACAGAUAAUGAAUCAAUCAGUUAGAUAGAGAGAAGAAAAGGAAAUUGAUCUACAACUCAAGAAAGAAGUACACAAAAUGGCACAUUUAAUGAAUAUUAACGUUCCUCAAACUCUCCUAAAGAAGAUUAGUAAGAACAUUAUAUUAGAGGAGGAAGAUUUCCUUAAGGUAUGUAAAAUAUUUCGUCAAGAAGCUAAGGAUGGUCUGAAUAAAGAUAAGACAAAGAGGAAAUCAUUACAAAUGGAAAAUACUUUUGUCAGACAUCUAUUAGAUGGCGCUGAAUGUGGAGAUUAUAUGGCUUUAGACUUGGGUGGAACAAACUUUAGAGUUCUUUUAUGUAAGAUGAGAAAUGGAGAAUUACGAGAAACCAAAGUAAAAAACUAUAAUUUAGAGAAGGAAGUGUUAAGAGGACCAUCGGACGGAGUUUUUGAUCAUAUUGCCAAUAGUAUUGCGAAAUUCCUUACUGAAUUCAAUAUACAAAAUAAUAAUAUUCCUCUGGGCUUUACAUUCUCCUUCCCUAUGAGCCAAUUUGGAUUGAAUAAAGGUGUUCUUGUUACUUGGACAAAAACCUUCAAGUGUCCGGAUGGAGUUGGUAAAAAUGCUGUUGAAAUGUUGGAAGAUGCUUUGAAGCGAAAGAAAGUUACAAAAGUUAAAGUUGUGGCAAUAUUGAAUGAUACUACUGGAACGUUAUUGGCCGGAUCUUAUUUAGAUCAUAAAUGUUCAAUUGGACUUAUACUUGGUACUGGAUUCAAUGCGGCUUAUGUUGAAAAUGCCGCAAAUGUUAAACGUUGGGGAAAUGAAGAAAUGGGUGAUACGAAACAGGUGGUUAUUGAUACUGAAUGUGGCGCUUUUGGAGAUAAUGGAAGUUUGGAUUUCUUCAAGUCUGAAGAAGACUUUCUUCUUGACAAGCAUUCUAAUCAUAUUGGAUCUUUUACUUUUGAAAAAUUGUUUGCUGGCCACUACGUGGGAGAUCUUGUUAGACUUCACUUGAAAAGUUUAAACUCUGCAGGUACUUUCUUAUCGGAACCAUGCGAAGCCUUGAAACAAUGGGGUCAUUUUAAUGGCAGGCACGUGACUGAUAUAGAAAAGGGACACAACGUCGAAGAAAUUUUGCAGAAUUUACUCAAAGUUAAAGUUAGCAAAGAUGAUUGUUUAAUUGCUCGAUAUAUCUGCCGGGCAAUAUCGAUAAGAUGUUGCCAACUCGUAUCGGCAAUCAUCCUUGAACUAGGCAGCAUAAUGGAAAGAAAUCAUGUAACCGUUGCAAUUGACGGAUCCUGGUAUAGGCAUCACCCUAAAAUGAAAUCAGACAUGGAGAAAAUCUUGAAAGAAUUCGAUAAGAAUAGAGUUUACGAAUUUAUUCUAGCUGAUGACGGUUCGGGUAAAGGAGCGGCUUUCGUUGCCGCGGUUGCUACUGGCCUUGAAAAAGACUAAUUUUUAUACAUAAACAUUUGUUUAAGUCAUUACAACAAACUUUAGAAUAUACUGUACUUUUUCUUUUAAUUUUUAAAUCUUUAUAUCUUCUUUUAUCUAAUCAUUUGUAUUUAAUAUAAGACUUUGUUUAUAAGCCAUAUAGAAAGGAAAGAGGAAAGGAAGUGUAAUGAUAAAGAAUUUCCUUCGCAUUUCACUUCUUCAUCUUUCUUGUAUCGGUAAUCUAAAUGCUCUCUUAAUCCAUAUGGAUAAUCUGUAAAUAGGCCGUCAACUUUCUCCUUAAUAUAGGCAUCGUACUGUCUUCUUACAUCGUCCCCAUAUAUCCAAGGAAUAGAACGAUCUUCAACCGUAAAUGUCCAUACAUGAACUUUCAUAUUUUUAUCGUGAACUCGUUUUACUAAACCAGUUGAUUCUCCAGUCGAUAUUUUUGAACCACCUCCAAAAAAUACGGCGGCCUUUGUUACACCAACACCAGCUGCAUAUUUUGAAAGACUGUCCAGAAAGAAGUCAGUAAUAAGCGGCAGUGGUGUUAAGAAUAUAACGGGAAUCUUUGUUAACUUUGAUAAUUCUUCAGCAGUUUCUUCUUCAAAACUUUGUAAAUAGCACGGUCUCUUUUCUCCAUCGUAUCCAUGGUCGUGUAAGAUUUUAACAACUAUCUUUUCAAAAGACGUAUUCUGACUGUUUAAUAAUUCAUCUUUCAGAACUUCAUUAUGCCAAGCAGAAGCUUUUAAUUCGGGAUAGAUUCCAAUUGUUCUUGACGCAUUUUGAGCUAUUGAAAUAUAAUCUUCUAAACUAAGAAAUCUAUAUCGUAGAUUAUAAUUAGGAUUUCUCCCAGAUGACGAUUUUCUCUUUAUUUUCAAUCUUCUCAACUCUUGCCAAGUGAAGUCAACUGUGUAAUAAUCUCUCGCUGGAAACCCUAAACCUGGUAUAUCAUGAUAGUUAGAUUUGUUGUGAAAUUCAGGAUAAGAAUGAACGUCAGUUGUCGCAUUUAAAUAACAAUCAUGAUGGCAAACUGGAACUAAGUCUUUUGAUAGACAAAUAUCACAUUCGAUAAAGUGCGCUCCCUGUUCAAUAGCUAAUUUGUAUGAGACUUCUGUAUGGUCAGGCCGUUCCCCAGACGCUCCUCUAUGGGCAAUAUUCAAAGGAGUCUUGACUGAAAUUCCUGGAAGUCCAUGGUUGAAUACUGGCAAAUCAGUUAGGGUAUUAAUAAUAUUAGAAAAAUCCAAUACGAAUAGAAGGAGAACCGCCAACUUCAUUUUAAAAAUGUAAUAUGAUAAAAAAAAAGCAAGAUAAAUUUACGUCACUUAAAAAUCACUGAUGAAGUGUCUCCUUCAGUAUCCAUCAUAAAGAUAUAUUUAUUAAUCAAUUCUCUACAGGUAUGUAUGAAUAGAUAUACUGUAUAUAAAGUUAUAAUAAAAUAAUAAACAUACUAAUAUUAAUAAAUAUAUAGA